rnacentral:rRNA from 1 species
ACAUCCAAUUGACCAUCUUUUAAUCGAGAUUUUGUCCCUCGGGUACAAUUGAGACAGGUGGUGCAUGGUUGUCGUCAGCUCGUGUCGUGAGAUGUUGGGUUAAGUCCCGCAACGAGCGCAACCCUUGUGUUUAGUUUGCAAACAGGUCAAGCUGUGCACUCUAGACAGACUGCCGUGGACAACACGGAGGAAGGUGGGGAUGACGUCAAGUCAUCAUGGCCCUUACGGCCUGGGCUACACACGUGCUACAAUGGUCGGUACAAAGGGUUGCCAAGCCGCGAGGUGGAGCUAAUCCCAUAAAACCGAUCGUAGUCCGGAUCGCAGUCUGCAACUCGACUGCGUGAAGUCGGAAUCGCUAGUAAUCGUGAAUCAGAAUGUCACGGUGAAUACGUUCCCGGGCCUU